AAUGCGCGCAUCAUGGGCGAGAGUGGGCGCGCAAGGCCAAAACAGGUUGCCACACGAUGGGUGGCGGUGGGUGGUUUUCGUAUCCGUAACCGUAUCCACACACAUAUCUAUAUCCACAAAUAUCCCAAAGUUGUGAAUAACCCAAAAGUGCGUGCCCCUGAUUGGGCCAAGGUAGGAGUAUCGUUAGAUCAACAGCUCCACACGACAUGAGCAAACACAAGAGUGCCAAAGUUUACACUGUCACGUGCUUGUCAACCAACGUCUCGGCGGCUUUAUAACGCCCAUGACCCCGGGCACGCUGGAACGCUGAAACGCUGAAACGCUGAAACGCUGAAGCUUUACAAGUGACCCCCGGCCGCGUGGACUUUGCACCCGGUGAACGACAACUGCUGCUACCUGAACUACCUGAAGUCCCCACAGCGCUUUCAUCCCCGAAUUUUAUUUUAUUUUCUACCCCUACGAUCAUGGCAGAAUUUCGCUAGGAACUAAAAAAAAUUACAGCAUACUUUUAGGACGAUGCCAGGACACGGCCUGGCAGCAUUUCCUACAGGGCACGAAGGACAUCCUCGUCUACAUCAAAAGAGAGCGCCCACAAGGGAUACAGUUGUUAACGUGGCCAAGGAGCAGCGUCUAUGGCGGGGACAAAAACACCAACAUGGUUGCCACGAGUGUCGCGAAGGACGAAGGAAGAGAAACGAGGGCUGCAGUUGAAGGAGCAGAAGCAGGGCACUUUAUGUGCAUAUAAUGUUCGCACACACACUGAGGGACGACCCUUCGAGUACAGUGUCGGCCAAGUUGCGGGGAAUUGUUAAUAUUGUCUGGGCCUGUAAGCAGCAUUUACAUGCUGGCAGACACCACGUACUACAUACGUCCAGGCUGAUGGACGAGCUCCUGUUUCUGAUCCCGCUCCAGCUCCAGCUCUAGCUCCUAGCGGAUGAUGCCGGCUUUAAGUAGGCCCGCCCGGCAACAGAAAUUGGUUUAAAAAUAUCCACAUCCUUGCAUUUUGCAGAUGUUGAAUUAACCGACCCGGCUUUCAUUAGAAGCAAAGGAUGGAUUCAGUGCAGGAGUUUCAGGAUGUGAAAAGCCCAAAUACCGAUGCAUUCUUGAUUCGUGACAUUAAGACAAAAAUAAACUUGAUUUUGGUAUAAAAUUGAUUCAUUCAUUUUCAAUCCAUUGAGUAAGAUUCUUAUCCGAUGGAUGAGUCGGGCCAGCCUCAGCACAUCCAACUGUGUGCGCAUCCAACAGGUAGUCAGACCAGACAAACUGUCUCCACUUGGAAUCCAAGUUUUUUCCCACUUCUUUGUUUUUUAAAUCGUAAGAGUACAUGGAUUUUGAAUAGAGGAAUAAUUUCUUUUAUUUCAGAAACUGAAACCAAAAAGCUUAUUUCUGAUCGUUUGAAUUGCAUAUUUCUGAAUUCAAUCCUGGCUGCAAGAAAACUCCGCUGGAACUAUACGAGGUCCAACCUACUUCCUCAUCUGCAUUCUUAUUUUCAAUGGACCGGCUCGAAACAAUUGGACAUUAAUAUUAACAAAACACUUAAAAUUUGAUUAUGAAAAUGUACACAAUACUGUGAUACUGUUGUAACUUAAAUAUUUUUCAAUAUUGUCCAACAAGAAUUUAUUGAAUAUAAAUAGAUGCACAUUUUCCAUCUUAACGAUAUCUUGGUAGCUCAGAGUAUAAUUAAUCUUAAUGAAAAUAAUGUUUACACUUGUUAAUUUUUUUCAUCAAAAUAUGUAAAACGAAAUCUUUAACUUAAGAAGAACCAAAUUGCAAGAACUACAUUACAAAAACAGAUUAUAAAAAUAUUUAUGUUAAAAAAAUCAUGUCUAU